rnacentral:lncRNA from 10 species
GGAUGCAUGUCUUUAUUUAAUUCGUUCAUUCCAGGUUCAUCCCACAUCUUCACAUCUCACCCUCCCACCGUCAAAACAGGUCCCAUGUAACAACAGGGGGCCAAAAACAACAGGCUUGCCCACAGUCUCCAUCACCCCCUACCCCACGGAACACUGUGGGGACAACGGUACCUUGCUUGAAAGCCACAGGUUUCAAACACUUUUAGGGGCACAACUCUCUUCAAACUGGAAACCACGAGCCACUACGUAGAACAGGCUGUCAGGGAGUUUCAACCUGGGCAACAUUUGGGGUACGUCCCUGGAGCCCCAAGUUCCCUCAGAGCAGGUGAAAACUCCUGCUUCAGAGCCCUUCUUUCUAUCCAAUCACUUGAAACGUUCCAUAGAAAGAAGAAAGAAAAAAGAACUCCCUUCUUGAAAUGCGAAUACCAAGAUUUCGCACGACCAACACUUCCACCUGUUGAAAUAAACAGUCCACAAAAUUAAGGCAUUUGGGGGCAAUUAGAGGGAAGUAAAGCAUUUACUAAAGUUACAAUAUCAUAUCAAAAGUGUUCAUUAUGCUUUUGAAGGCUCUUAACUAGGCACAAGGGCAGAAACAGUCACGGUCCCGGCCACUGCAGGCAAACACGUGUUGAUUACCAAAGCAGAAAGGGAAACAGAGAGCUGGUGGUGAGCAUUCUCUUCAGCAGGUCCCCAGGCACCAGGCCCCCCUCCAAGUCAUGCCUCACAUGCCCAACAGCAAAGAGAAGCAGUGGGAGCUGAGCAGACACUGCAGGGCAGGGCAGGGCACUGCUGGCUAAAUUACAGCAGCAACUGUACACACGAAACAGCUUCUUCAUAAACACCAUUCUCAAACUGGAUUUAUGCACAUUCAUACACUACCUAGUAUAUCUAAGAGAUCUUGAAAUCAAAGCAACAUAAAAAAGAGAGACUCGCCUGCAAUCCAGGCACUGAGCAACGACAUGUCAAGGCAACAGAAAUCCCCCUCCUGCCCCCACUCACUUCUCCAUCCCACUGUCUGCUGAGAAUUUCUAGUAUUUAUUCCACACAUCACUGUACACUUCAAAAUCUGCACAUUCCUCUCCGUGGAAUUCUCCUGGGAUGUGAAUCCCACCCACGUGCAUCAUGUACACAUCUAAACUGUUUCAUUCCACACUGAGAGGUUCGGGUUUGGAGCGUUCAUUCCACACUGAGAGGUUCGGGUUUGGAGCGGGAGGAGGGGAGUGAGGCAUAAGUGAGAAAGGAGGUCACAUGGCCCAAACAGGUACUUCCAGGAGGCCAAUCCCAGCCGGUAGGGAUCCAGGCCCCGGGAGGCCAGGCCUGCUUGCCGAGUACCGACGGCCAGGUGAGGAGGCAGAAGCUGUAGCCCCAGAGCCAGAAGACCCACACUAGUGUCAUCACCAACAUACAGGGGGGCCACAGGCUCCCAGUGCCCAGGUUAAGGUGCAGUCCUCACCGAGAAGGCCACAUCAGCUUCCUGUGAGUGUGUCCCAUGGAUCCAGGGGUGGCCAGAGGCCCAUCACCACGGGUGUUGGCACUUCCUAAAACCGCACGCAGCGAUCUCCAGACUCGUUCUUGGCCAUGAGCAGCAGAAAUGCUGCAGUGCUGCCUGCCAGCGUACAGGCUGUUCAAGAACCCAAGAGGAAUUUCUCACCAAUACGUAAACAUGCACCACAGCUAGACUGCGGUUCCGUGACUUUGGGAUUUCAGAGACAGGCGAACUUAAGAAGAAAUUCUGGGGCUGACAAACAGCAACCAACAUUUUGUUUUGCAACCAAGAGCAUUUCAAAAAGCAAAAAUAUUGCCCUCUACUUUUACCUUCAUUACAUAAAAGGA